CUCACUCAUCUGUUCGUGUUGCUUCUCAGUUUCCUCAACUUUUUUAUAAGUUCCAAAUUUAUUGUUCUAGGCUACUUGAUAAGAAAAAUUCACACAUAUGAUAUAAUCAUGAUGAUAAUGAUUAUAUUUUUUUCUUAUGCAGGGUUUGAAAGUAAAGAAGAAUCUGCUAACUGGACGAAUCUGAUAAAAAAAUCUGAAAAGGUAUAUUAUUUUUCUUUUGUUCUUCUUCUUCUCUUCUUUGGAAAAUUAUAAUUUGUUUCCUUCUGUUUAUGACUUGAGUAUUUUCUUUGUUAGAAUUCAUUCUUUUCUGUGGCAAAUGAAGAAUCACUUGCAUAUUUAAAGGAGUAGAAGUCUCGGGAAAAAACAGAUGAUGGAAAAUUCUUCAAUAAUCAAUUGAGUUUCAGGCUACAAAUGGAGACCGAAGAUGAAGAUAAAAAAAGAAGAAUUCUUUUUAAUUUACAAUCCUUUUCUCUACAUGAAUUCAAGUUAUUUCAUCUUCAUGCUUUUUGUGGAGUCUAUGUAUUUUUUUUCUUGUUCUUCAGAUUAUCGUCAAU
rnacentral:lncRNA from 1 species